UAUAUAUGUAUGUAUGUAUAUAUAUAUAUAUACGACAUGGAAUGAUUGAGAAAAAUGAUAAGACGAAGAAGAGGAGGAAGAUUCAGAAGAUGGAAAAAGAGGAAUAAGAGGAACAAGAGGAAGAGGGUAAUCGGAAGAUGAAACAAGGGCGCACGCAUCGUCUUAAGUCGUCGUCAUCGUCAUUGUCAUCGUCAUCGUCAUCGUCAUCGUCAUCGUCAUCGUCAUCAUCAUCGUCAACGUCAUCGUCAACGUCCUUGUGGGGAUAUGCGAGCCGCACGUGUGCGAAAUUCAACCAGACAGAUCCCCCUCAAUCGAAAAUAUCACCCUUCUGUAUAAAGAGUGUACAUAGAUUUCGAUCGAAUGGGGACGAUGCACGGCCGGGAAAUGAGAUUUUGUUGAUACCGCUUGCGUUUCAACGACGUUUCAACGAGAGAGAGAGAGAGAGAGAGAGAGAGAGAGAUAGAGAUAGAGAAAAAGAUAGAAAGAAAGAAAGAAAGAAAGAGAAAAAAUACAGAACGUUUGAGUCCGAGAGUUUUAUAUCGAAAGAUGGACAGAGUUUUCGGAACGAUACAAAGAAUAUUACUUUUCUACGGUACAACCUAAAUAUAUAUAUAUAUAUAUAUAUGUGUGUGUGUGUGUGUAUGUGUGUAUAUAUAUUUCAUUCUUCUUUUCGUUUAGAAAUCUUUCUUUUUCUUUCUUUUUUCUUUUAAACGAAAACCAAAAAAAAAAAAAAUCUCUAUGCACAUACAGUAAAAAAAAAUAUAUAUAUAUAUAAAAGAAGAAGAAACGUUGGAAAAUCGAAGGGGUUAUAUCGCCUAUUGUUAUUCAUUCUCACGAUGUUUUACAGAACGUUAGAUGAACAUGUGAUAGAAAUAUUAUUAACGAUUAGUACGAGAUUUAACAAGUUGGUCGUAAAAAAAAAAAAGGGAGAGAGAAAACAAAGAGAAAUGGAGAGAACUCCUUCGAUUUUCUUCUCUCGAUAUAUUCGUUUUAACGAGCAAUACGCGUGCGUUUAUUCCGUUCCGGAAGACGGUGCAUAAUGUCAGCGAGAAAAGACGACGAUAGAUAGAGAGGCGACAUGUAAAAACAAUACUUAUGGAUUAUUACGAUCUAAUACACGAAAAGAUAAAAGAAAAAAAUUACACGCAUCUGUAAACAAUAUCCCUUUACCCUUUCCAUUUCCCGUCACACUUCCUCCUCCUAUUUCUCCUACCUCUACUUUAUCUCCCCACAUUGUAUAUUAUUAUUAAACAUUAAUUAAUUAUUAACGAUAAAAAAAAAAAAAAAGGAAAAGAGGAAAAAAAGUAAUCGAGACCUCUGGCGAGUAUUGGUGACGUUUUGUUAGAACGACGGAAACUAAAUUACUAUUGAAUUUUAAUUAAAUAAACAACAUUGAAAGUAA